rnacentral:misc_RNA from 1 species
ACAUACUUGGGCAGGCCCUGGAAGCAAUUCUCGACAACUGUAGUUAUGGAGUCACAAUUAGGAGAUUUGAUUCAACCAGAUGGGUGGAUGCCAUGGGCUGGAAGCCAAUUCCUUGACACUUUGUUCUAUGCUGAGUACGCAAAUACUGGACCUGGUGCCAAUACUGCUAGGAGGGUGAAGUGGAAGACACUUCAUUUCCUUAACAAGAAUGAAGCUCAAAGAUUCACUGUUGGAACAUUCCUGGCCGGCGCGGGUCAAUGGA